rnacentral:rRNA from 1 species
UACGUAGGGUGCAAGCGUUAAUCGGAAUUACUGGGCGUAAAAGCGUGCGCAGGCGGUGAUGUAAGACAGAUGUGAAAUCCCCGGGCUCAACCUGGGAACUGCAUUUGUGACUGCAUCGCUGGAGUGCGGCAGAGGGGGGAUGGAAUUCCGCGUGUAGCAGUGAAAUGCGUAGAUAUGCGGAGGAACACCGAUGGCGAAGGCGGCCAUCUGGACCGCAACUGACGCUGAGGCGCGAAAGCGUGGGGAGCAAACAGG